ensembl:lncRNA
CUGCGGCAUUCACAGGUUUCCUUCUUGAAGACAUCUGAUCUGACACGCUGAAAGUUUCCUUGGUCCAAAAGAAGAAGAAGAAACAUGUCUUUGAGAUUUUAGAUGAUGGAGUUCUAACCAGAAGAACAGCUGGACAAUACCUUGAAACACAAAGAAAUUACAAGUUAGAGAUUAGCCAGCAGCAGGCCUUAAAGAGUUCCAGUGGAUGAUGAACCAAUGAAGCUAGAUCAGGAUUACUGACACAUAAUGAAGCUGAUGCUGUUUACACAAGACUUCACACACAGGUGAGAGUGAAACAGCAUCAGGGGAGGCAGGGGAAAGAUUUUAGCAGCCACAUUUGUGUUGGGAGGAAAUUAUUUAACCUGUCAGCACAGCCUCCAUGGUCACAGUAUGAGCUUACGUGAUAGAGACGCAGUCUAAUGGUCAACUAAACAUGAAACCGCUGGAUUGUACCAGGUAAACUUGUAACAUGAAGUGAACUAUUAAACCAUCAAUUAUUAACCACAAUUAUUAUUCUAACAUUUUAAUGCAUUUAAAAGCUAUUUUAAUUCAGUGAUUCAUAUUCAUUUAUAUAACCACAGAGAUAGACAGCAGCCUCAAUAAGGCCACACUGUUCACAAAAUAAUUAAAGGAGCACAGAAAACAGAUCCAAUUUGUAACUCUGACAGGGCUCUUCCUGUUCCUUCUUGGAUAAAGGUGCAGAUACUGGCCCUGCUGAUGGAUUAAGGCCUUCUAUAACCCUGUCCAGCUCUCUUCCAUCUUCUUCAGACUGUACUGGGACACUCCACAAACCUUCUGAUAAUGCCACAGGCUGAGGUUGGCCCCUCAAGUACACCUGUUGUUAAUUUCCUGCACACCAAAGCAGCUGAAACUGAGUAACAAAGCCCUCUGUUACUCAACUGAGCAGAUAAAUCCCUUUAGUUUGACUUAAUGUUAUACUCUGAUUAAAAAGUGUUCCUGUAAUUUUGAGCAGUUGAAUAUAAUUAUAAUUAGCCAGGAGUGUAUAUUACAGUUACAUUAGGACUUACACAAGCACUUACAAGAGCUAGCCCGGUAAAAUGACAGAGCACAGUAGACACAUGUGCAAGCAAAUGAAGUUGUUGAUGAUGGUAGCAUAUUCUUCCCCAAAAAACAAUUAGAGAGGGAUUUAAGUGUUAAAAUUCAGGAAGGAGAAUGAGGGGGUGGCAAUUUCAGUUUUCUGCAAAAAAACAAAACAAGUUUGGAGAAGUGCAACUAGCCCACACUCUCAGAAACAGAUAACUGCCAAUAGCUCUUAAAACAUAAGAGCAGAAAAAUAAAGUGUUAAACAUUGAGCAUGUCUGUAAGAAAUCUGUGCGACAGAAAGAGAUAUUAGGAGACUAAAUUAUUCCAUUGGUUGAAGAUCUGGUGAAAACUGAAAACCUGUAGUGAGGUCAGUGGGAUAAAAAAAAAGAAAAUAAGUGUUAAAUCUGUUCUUCCAGAUUGAAUUGACAUAGGAUAGGCUUCCCAUGGUGGUGAUGGGAAGACGGGAAUUUAACUGAUUCAUCAAAGAUCUCAGAAAGAAACAAGAAGACAUUAACAACAAGAUUUUCCUAAACCUUCUUGUGAAGAAAAUAAAAUAUAAAUAAAGAGCUGUGAGUCUUGAUCUGGAUCAGGCCAACACCAAAAGGUGCAAUUACCAACAAUACUGCCAUGGAUACUUCCUGAUAUAGCUGUAUUUCAAGUAGCUCAUAAAGUACAGUGAUCACUAUUAUAAUACCAUAAUUAAAGAAAAAGCUCAAAUGAAAAUGAACUGGACCAUAAUUUAUUUGAAAAGGAGUCAAGAAGUUAAAGUUAUCAGCCCAUAUUCCAUUUUAAAUUCCGAAUGCGCUUUAUGUCACACAAGUCCAGUCAGAGGCUUCUUUAUGGUUUGAAUUUAUAGCAAACAUUUGAACUUUGCAUAUUUUGCAUUUCGUAUCCAAAGAUAAAUUUGGACAUGAAAGGUGAUAUGUCAAAUACUGACAUGUAUUUGCAUGAACUGGAGGUAGAAACCUCCAAAGGUUGAUUCUGUUCAUCUGGACGUAGCGUUUUGUGGGGGAACGUUUCGUCACUCAUCCAACUAACUUCUUCAGUCUCAGCUGACUGCAGGUUUCCCCAAUCUUAUAACCAGUACAUUGCAUAAUGACUGAAACCAGCCCACUGAAGGAACAAUGGACUGGGAGUUCAGUUCCUUAAUCUUAAUAUAAAGCUUUUCACAGUGGGUACAUUCAUAUAACAGCAGUCAGCACUGUCACGUGGAUAUAUUUGUCCAGCACCUGCAUGUUACAGUCCGUAAUAACUGAAUAAGUAUGUCAAUACAGCUGUUUACCAGCUCAUCACAAAAUAAAUUAUUCAGUACAUAAGUCCAGGCUGUACUGCAGUCUUAUCAGAUGACUUCACAUUGAGAGAAUGUCAGCUAUGAACGGAACAUUAGAGUACGUAAAGGUCGCUAUGAAUAAUAGGACAGCGUUUUCUCCUGUAUCUUCUCCAGUCACCUCUCCGUCCUUAAACCCGAUCACGUUUCAAUCCAGGCCAAGGAAAGGAGGGUAGUAAAAGGAGGUAGGAAGAACACUUGAACGCUCCCAUUUUGUGUUUUAAAUAACAAAAAUCACGGACACGUAGCUACUUCCGCACGUCUACUUCCUGGAACAGAAAAUCUGUCGUACUCGCAGCGGAUCAAUAAAGCUGAUGGUGCUGCUGUAUAAGCGCCAUCACUAAUGCCCGGUCAGUGACGGGCGCUCACGGAUUACCUUAGCGGUGUCGUUCUGUCUGAAAGCCAACUCAAAAUAGCAUUUAGCCGGAAACGAGAAGUUUACCCUCUCCGCCAUUACACGAAAUCUUUUUUAUACGGAUGACGUCACCGCGAGGCGACAAACUCACGUCCACGUCCCACGAAUCUGCCCGUCCUCCACAGUCCAGGUAGGACAGAGGGGAAGGGGGUGCGACAGGGGGUAUAUGGCAGUUUCCCCCACCGAGAUGCGCUCCCGUGCCUUCACCCACAAGCCUGAGUACUUGUACUGGAAGCGACUGCUGAAUGCUGAUUGGUUGAUUCGUGGGCCGGUGUUGUGCCAAAGUAGUUACCCCCGGCAAAAAUUGUUUCCCCAUCCACGAGAGCGCGCAAAGUAGGAGGAGCCACUUGCCCAGCUCCGUUCUGUACGCUACUUGUCACUGAUCUGCAGUCGACGCAAUAAAGAGUAAAAGCUGGAAAACAGCAGACUCGAUUAAUUUAAUAUUAGUUUCGUGACAUUGUAAUGUGCAAUAUGUGGAAGACAAUUUACCUUAAACUGUACACUGAAAUAACCUGCUGGGAAUACUUUGUCUAGAAAAAUACUUUGAUAACAUAAUACUCUAAAACCAGACGCGAUCAUGGCAACACGUCGCUCUCCGGUGAAUUUACACUCGGUUUACACUUUGUGGCGAAGCUAUCACUAAGGAGUUUAUUUGCAAAAUAAGUCACAGUAUAACCAAUAACUACAGUAACUUUGGAGACGAUGUCUUAUUCACAGCAAAAGUUAUGGAGGGAUACAGAUUUUAUCAGGCUGUGUGGCAUCGGCUGCCAAAAUGUGUGUCCCCCCAUCUGUAAUCCAUAUUGGCUUUGCUAUCACAAAGGGUAUAUUUGCCAAAUAAGUCACAGUAUAACCAAUAAGUACAGUAACUUUGGUGACGAUGUCUUAUUCACAGCAAAAGUUAUGGAGGGAUACAGAUUUUAUCAGGCUGUGUGGCAUCGGCUGCCAAAAUGUGUGCCCCCCCACCCCCCCAAUCUAUAAUGAUGCACAUUGGCAG